AGCUUACCACUCAAGCUUGGAUGAUAAGUGUUUUUCAGAUUCCUGAUCUGAGGAAAUAGUGUGAAGCCACAGGAAUGAAGCCAUGGAAACUAUUGUAAACAAAGGAAGAAGAACCACCAAGACUAAGCAACACUUGCACUCAACAGCAACGCUUUCAUGAAGAUUUCAUCCUUGUGCCUAUUUCUUCCAACUCUUUCCAGAGAACAAGAGGAUAGACAGAGGAUUGCCUGAUACACAGAGCCUAAUGCAGCAGCAGCAGCAGCAGCAGCAGCAGCAGCAGCAGCAGCCAGCAGCAGCCAGAAGCCAGCAGCAGCAGGAAGGGGAGAAGGAGCAGCAGGCACAGCCUCUCUUAAGGCUCCAGCAUUUUUAUACCCUCUCAAGAGUGCCCAGAAUUCCAGGUGUAAACUAUCUUCAACUGGCAGAAUCACACCCAUGCCAGACAUGAGACAAAUCAUAGUCAGCUGCUGUGGACAAUGUGAAGCAGCCCCAUUUCCCACGCCUGGGGUUAAAACAAAAACACAGUCCCAUAACUUAACUGGGUUUUUAAAGAAAUCAGAAUUCUCACUACAGUUUAUUUAGCCCUUUUGACUGUGGCAGGGAUGUACUCAUGAUCUAACAGAAGGCCUAGGAAGGAUGAUGGGGAAAUUUAAUGUAUUACUUACUGAAAUUGAUUUUUCUGUGAAAGCAUAUGUGUUUUAAUAUGGCUUGGGAAUACAUGAAUGUAAAAUGUC